rnacentral:rRNA from 1 species
GAGGAAUAUUGGUCAAUGGGCGGGAGCCUGAACCAGCCAAGCCGCGUGAGGGAAUAAGGCCCUACGGGUCGUAAACCUCUUUUGUCGGGGAACAAAACCGGAGACGAGUCUCCGGCUGCGUGUACCCGAAGAAAAAGCAUCGGCUAACUCCGUGCCAGCAGCCGCGGUAAUACGGAGGAUGCGAGCGUUAUCCGGAUUUAUUGGGUUUAAAGGGUGCGUAGGCGGCCAUGUAAGUCAGCGGUAAAAGCCCGGGGCUCAACCCCGGCGAGCCGUUGAAACUGUGUGGCUGGAGACGGGGAGAAGUAGGCGGAAUGCGCGGUGUAGCGGUGAAAUGCAUAGAUAUCGCGCAGAACUCCGAUUGCGAAGGCAGCCUACCGGCUCCGGUCUGACGCUGAGGCACGAAAGCGUGGGUAUCGAGCA